GUACUGAUGAAGAGUCCAAAACUAGGACGAAAGAGCUGUUCAGUAC
rfam:Trichobilharzia regenti genome assembly, scaffold: TRE_scaffold0019528